UAGUUUCAGUGCAUUCCGUUGAUGUAGACGGCGUGAAAACGGAAACAAGAAGUAUGCCGGCUCAUUGUGCUGCAUACAGUUACACACUACGUCGUACGAUUGAGACAAGGAAACUUGGAAUGACUUUUCAUAGGUUUCCCAGAGACUAUGGGUUGAGGAGGAAUUGGAAGUUUGUCGGCUUAGACCUGGUGUCAUUCCAUCAGUGUUAAACUUCCCGGCUCAUCUUGGAAGAGUACGUGCCAGAAAGACCACGACCAAGCAGCCUUGAGAUCUUAGACAGCGUCUCCCUGAGACCAAAGAACUACAGACUCUUCACAACCUGCUCAAACUCUUGGUACAGGACCUCACCACACGGGUCAAGAAGGUUUCCGUCUCAUUUCUACUCUGAAGCUCACCUUCUCCUGCUCAAACUGCUGACAAAUGUUUCUGCUGCUCUAAAGUCUGGUCUCCAGAACUUCCUAAAAACUCUCAAAGUCUCUUCUGCUGCAGGUUGCUUUGUAGAACUGUUCCAGAAAACCUCACUAAACCACAUGGAGGGGCCUCAAGAUAGUCGUCCAAAUGAAACCAUACAAAAACCAAACUAGCACAACCCAAACGCUAAAGUCUCCUGCAGCCUACCAGAGAACCUCUGAGAACAGAGAAUCAGGACAGGAACUCUUACCUUCUGGACAACCAACACUGGUUCACAAACAAGAAUACAGAAUGUGUCUGACCAAAAACCUCUGAAGACUCACUACAGCCAAGAUAAAGACACAACUCAGCUGCACCAAAUCCACUAAUCACUGCACACACUAGCACCAUGUGCUAACUGUGGCUAAAGAACCACAUUUACCAAGACAACUAUCCAGUACAAAGCCCUAAAACACACCAAGAAACACAUUAAAGUCUAUUUUACUGCUGGAAGCUGCAAGCUAACGCCUAAAGAACAAACUCAAGCAA